CGAGUCUUAACUGGGCGUUAAGUUGCAGGGUAUAGACCCGAAACCCGGUGAUCUAGCCAUGGGCAGGUUGAAGGUUGGGUAACACUAACUGGAGGACCGAACCGACUAAUGUUGAAAAAUUAGCGGAUGACUUGUGGCUGGGGGUGAAAGGCCAAUCAAACCGGGAGAUAGCUGGUUCUCCCCGAAAGCUAUUUAGGUAGCGCCUCGUGAAUUCAUCUUCGGGGGUAGAGCACUGUUUCGGCUAGGGGGUCAUCCCGACUUACCAACCCGAUGCAAACUGCGAAUACCGAAGAAUGUUAUCACGGGAGACACACGGCGGGUGCUAACGUCCGUCGUGAAGAGGGAAACAACCCAGACCGCCAGCUAAGGUCCCAAAGUCAUGGUUAAGUGGGAAACGAUGUGGGAAGGCUCAGACAGCCAGGAUGUUGGCUUAGAAGCAGCCAUCAUUUAAAGAAAGCGUAAUAGCUCACUGGUCGAGUCGGCCUGCGCGGAAGAUGUAACGGGGCUAAACCAU
rnacentral:rRNA from 1 species